UGCCUGACUAAUUUUUCUUUUUCUCUUUUCUAGAGAUUGGGUUUGCUGCAUUGUCCAGACUGGUGUCAAACACCUGGGUUCAGUUAUCCUGCUGCGGUCUCUCAAAGUGCUGGGAUUACAGGCAUGAGCCUCCACACCCAAACACGUGGGGUGGUUUUAAGCCCCCAGUAAGGUGCACCAGCAGGACCAAGAGGUGGCCUGGGCCUCCCCAACACUCUUAUCCAUGCAGACCCAGGCAAGUUUCUCUCUCUGAAUCUCAGUCACCACCACAGACAAUGCAAGUAGGAAGCUGGGCAGGGCUGGACUGGGGGUGUAGCAGGUAGAGGCCACCUCUGUGAGGUCGGGUGGCAUGGGCUGGCUGGAGCCUGUCUUCCCACAUGUAGGUCAUGACCUCCAAAAACCAGCUGUCGGUCAUGGUGAUGGGCCGCUGGGAUUGGCAGAAAGCUUGCUUUCCUUCUCUGAGGCUGGAGCAGUAUGGGGCCAAAGACCAUGGUGAGGUUGUGCAGGAACUUUUAUUGACUGCCUUUUUCUUACUACCCUGUGCAGGACUGAAGCAGAGGGUGCUAUUUCUACGCCACCACCAGGAAAGAGGCAGAGGGGCUGGGCCAUGCUGGCGUCCUCUGGGAGGGAGCAACCUUGACCCUGGCUGUGCUGCAAGCUGAUUCCAGCCCUGCCCCUAAUGGCCGCAGUGCACAUGGAGGAGAUGCCUCUUAUGACGCCAUGGCCUCCAGUUCUCACCGAUGCCCUCAUCGAAGUUGGGUAGAACUUCAGUGAAGAGGGGCUCAUGCAGCUCAUGGAAGCAGAGCUUCAGUGUGUCUGUGAUGGCGUGUAUGUUCAUCUCACUCAUCAUCUUCGACACGUCCCUGUCAUCCAGAAAGAACAUGGAAGUGCUGCAGCCUCCUUGAGGAUCCCAAAGAUGGGGUUUGCUGCAUUGUCCAGACUGGUCUCAAACACCUGGGUUCAGUUAUCCUGCCACAGUCUCUCAAAGUGCUGGGACUACAGGUGUGAGCCUCCACACCCAAACACUUGGGGUGGUUUUAAGCCCCCAGUAAGGUGCACCAGCAGGACCAAGAGGUGGCCUGGGCCUCCCCGACACUCUCAUCCAUGCAGACCUAAUUUGUUUAUUAUUAUCUGAAAUUCAAAUUUAUUUAUACAUCGUGUGUUGAUCUGGCAACCCUAUACUAUCUGUAACCUUGUAAUAGGCCCUCUCAGAGCACACAGAUAGGAGAUAUGUGUAUUAACCCAUGUAUAUACACAUAUCUAUUAAAUUUUUAUAUAUGUGUGGUUAAAUAUGAGUUUAUACUUAUUUCUCUAACUCAAAUCCAGUAUCACAGGGUUCCUUCUAGCCUUCUCCCUUUGCUUAUCUAUAACUUCUCUCGCCAGCAGUGAAAAACCUGACCCCCACUAUUCGCUCUUCAUUUACUUAUUUGCCCCUUCUUACUCAUGGUGCAUGUAAAGCUAUUUCAGAAUUGGUCACAGCCUCCCCACCCCCAUCCCCGCCCCUAGCCCGAUGAGAAAAAAAAUUCUUCAGACAAAUUACUUGGACCUCACUUUACAUGUUAUAAAAUAUAUAGUUUUAAUUUAAAUGGGUAUUAGUGGAAAUUAAUAAAUUUGAUGUGAAUAUUUUGCAACCUAGAAAAUAAGCAUCUUAAAAAUAUACUAGUAACAACACAAAGUAAAAUAUUUAUAUAUAUUCUUAGCUUUUCCUAAAAAUCUUCUAUAUUUAUAAAAUUAUAACUGCAACUUCCUCAUGUAUAGCAGAUUACUGGCAAGGAGAAUGUAGUAAUAAUGACUCAUUGAUGUUUGCAAGGAAAAAAAAAUUGCAUCCUUAAUUCUUCCUCUUGCUCCUUCACUUGUCUUUAAAAACUAUAUUUAUUCAUUUAGUUAUAAUUUGUUAUUAGAUUUUUGUGAAAUUUAAUGACAAUGUCUAAUUAUUUAUAUUUAAUAAAAGUUAUUAUUUUGAACUGUAUAAAUUAUUUUUGAAUUUUUGUCAUGAUAUUUAUCUUCAUGACAAAACAAAUGAAGAUUACUAUUUCUAAGGAACUACACAUUUUUAUUCUGUUGGAACAAUUUGUCUCUGUUGCUUUCAUUUUAACUCUUUGUGGUAACAACAGAAAUUAUAAUAUAUAUAUCUAAACAUUUAAAAACUAAUUUUGCUACAAAGAUAAUUGCACAAUGUUUUCAAAAAGUAAUAAAAUCUAUUUAUUGGUAAUUUACUCCCAUCAUUCUUCAAAAACCAAGUGGUUUUGGAAGGAUAGUAAAGCCUUUCUAUUUAACUCAAAGACAAUGCCAGAGUACCAGACUCCUCUCUCUUUCUAAUAACCUAGCAUUUUCCCAAAUUAUUCUGUAAAUUAAGUUGGUUUUCAUUCAUGUUUAGAAAGAAAUAUAGGAGAUUUGUAUCGAGUUUAGGAAAGAUAUGAAUGUGCAUAUGAUUCAUUUUAUUAGGAAGAUACUGUGUAUAUAAACAUUUUUUGAAUGUUUUAAUUGUAUAAUAAAGAAAUCAUCUAUACUAACGCAACUUACUAUAUACGUUAAUAGAACUUUACUUUUCAGCUUUCUUCACUAAUACACUUCCACUGUCUUCAUCAGUAUCAUUUUUCUGUUCUAGGAAAUUUAUGCUCAGGAAGAUAGAAAUUGUAAACAAGGUUAUUGUUUGGUUUAAAGACUUUCUCAACAAUCCACUUAAUAUAUAAAGAUUGCCCAAAUUUUAGGCAGAUAACAUCAAACAAUUGUUUACCCUCCAGGCCUUUGAAAUUUUCAAUUGCUGUAUUCUUUAAUUCUGAAAUAGUAUGUUCCUUACUCAAUCCAGUCAAAUUCUUACAUUGAAAGAUCUGUCUUAAAGCAGACUGCAAAUCCUCAUAAAUAUUCCCCCCCACACUGAUAUUGAAGCUUUGACAAGGUAGUACCAUUCUUUACUGAAACAUUCAGUAAACUGAGCUUUGAUUUAGGUACAUGUUAUGUUGGUGGUAUUUGUAAGACAGCAUUUGACAAAAGCUUGCUCAAUUGUGUUUUCUAUUACCAUGUGUAUAAAAUAUAUUUGCAGACAAACAAAGCUGCCUUAGCUUGUGUAAUUCUGAAAGAGAAGUUAUUAACAGGAUUUUAGUAUGAUGUUACUCCUUGUGGUACUCAUAUCCAGUCAAAAUCUGGAAGUUAUUAACAUAUUUUUUGUACAUUAGUUUGAUUUAUUUGUUGAACCUCAAAUCAAGGACUAUAGACAGAUAAUAUUUUAUCAUAUGAUUUUUGUAUUAUCCUCAUGAAGUCUGAGGUCUAGGGAAUACACCUUUUUUCCAAAAUCAUGAAACAAAUAAAAAAGCAAGGACUCAAUUCCAGGUGUUUAGACAACUGCAUCAGUUGUAGUUUCCCUCUAACAGGUGGUGGGCACUAUUUUCCAUCUGUGGAAUUAGUCACCCACAAAAUUACUUUUCUUCAUUUAAAAUAUUUAAUCAUCAGAAUAGAGACUUGUGUUACACAGAUAAAAUUUAAGUGUCCUCACUUAUAUAUUAAAAUGUCUAAUCCAAAGAUAUCAUGUCACCUCUGAUGUUGCUUGUAAUCAGAAAUCUGAUACUUUUGUUGACUUUACUGCUCCAUUAAAUAUUUA
ensembl:lncRNA